GGUCAAGAUUGACGCUCAUGCACGAAAGCGUGGGAGCAAACAGGAUUAGAUACCCUGGUAGUCCACGCCCUAAACGAUGUCUACUAGUUGUCGGGUUUUAAUUAACUUGGUAACGCAGCUAACGCGUGAAGUAGACCGCCUGGGGAGUACGGUCGCAGGAUUAAAACUCAAAGGAAUUGACGGGGACCCGCACAAGCGGUGGAUGAUGUGGAUUAAUUCGAUGCAACGCGAAAAACCUUACCUACCCUUGACAUGUACGGAAUCCUGGAGAGAUCUGGGAGUGCUCGAAAGAGAGCCGUAACACAGGUGCUGCAUGGCUGUCGUCAGCUCGUGUCGUGAGAUGUUGGGUUAAGUCCCGCAACGAGCGCAACCCUUGUCAUUAGUUGCUACGAAAGGGCACUCUAAUGAGACUGCCGGUGACAAACCGGAGGAAGGUGGGGAUGACGUCAAGUCCUCAUGGCCCUUAUGGGUAGGGCUUCACACGUCAUACAAUGGUACAUACAGAGGGCCGCCAACCCGCGAGGGGGAGCUAAUCCCAGAAAGUGUAUCGUAGUCCGGAUUGUAGUCUGCAACUCGACUACAUGAAGUUGGAAUCGCUAGUAAUCGCGGAUCAGCAUGUCGCGGUGAAUACGUUCCCGGGUCUUGUACACACCGCCCGUCACACCAUGGGAGCGGGUUUUACCAGAAGUAGGUAGCUUAACCGCAAGGGGGGCGCUUACCACGGUAGGAUUCGUGACUGGGGUGAAGUCGUAACAAGGUAACCAAGGG
rnacentral:rRNA from 1 species